AUUUAAUGAAGAAAUCACUGCCGUUGAAGUAGUUACUGCAUCAAUGAGACGCGUUAUUAAAAAACAACCAAUUACGCGAAAGAUUUCGUGGAAUUUUAGAGAAUGGUACCCAAAGCAAGAAGUCCUUAAGAGCGUUAGAGAAUGUGACAGCAGCACUUUUUGAUGCUUUAAGUACAGAUGGUAAGCCGGAACAAGUGAUCGAGUCGAGUCUGGAUUUCUCUUCAAGCUUUAAGAAC